rnacentral:tRNA from 1 species
GAGGGUAUAGCUCAGUGGUAGAGUACAUGCCUAGCAUGCAUGAAGUCCUGGGUUCAAUCCCUAGUACCGCCA